rnacentral:lncRNA from 1 species
ACCUGCUUCUCAUCAAUGUAGGUUAUGUGCAAAUUCCUUCGUCCGAAGAUGACAAUCCGAAUGAUAGUGGCGUAGGUGAAGAAACGAAAAAUAUUGAACCCACUGUUGGAAUGAAAUUUAAAGAUGAGAAUGAUGUUUUCGAAUUUUAUAAGCACUAUACUUACCAAAUUGGCUUUCCUGUGCGAAAAAGGAAUUCAAAGAAAGGUGAUGACGGAGUUGUUCGUUAUGUAACCUUGACAUGCAGUCGGGAAGGCCGUCGAACUAGUGGUACAACUACAGUUUUGAAGCCUCAGCCAACCAUGCAAACUGGGUGUAAAGUAAGAUUGACGGCAUGUUCUAAACUUACUGGGGGAUGGCGUAUUAACACUGUCCACUUAGAGCAUAAUCACAAAACAAGCUCAUCCAAAUCAAGGCUAUAUCGAUGUAAUCGCCAAAUUAGUGCACGCGUGAAAAGGCAGCUUGAAAUUAACGACAUUGCUGGAAUACCAUUGCACAAGAGUUUUUACUCAGCCGUAGUUGAAGCUGGUGGGUAUGACAAGAUUGCAUGCGUUAAGAAAGAUUGAAGAAAUUUCAUUGACAAAGUUUGACGUUUGAAACUUGAUGAAGGAGACGCGAUUGCAAUACAAUCAUAUUUUUCCAAGAUACAAGCAACUAGUCCUGGCUUCUAUUUUAGUAUAGACUUGGAUGACGAAGCCCGACUACGGAAUAUAUUUUGGGCAGAUAAGAGGUGUAGGCAAGCGUGUAAGGAAUUUGGUGAUGUAGUCACAUUUGACACUACUUACUUGACUAAUAAGUAUGAAAUGCCGUUUGCUCCAUUCGUUGGGGUGAACCAUCAUGGACAAUCAACUCUUCUAGGAUGUGGUUUGCUCUCAAAUGAGGAUAGAAGGACUUUCGUAUGUCUAUUCAAGACAUGGCUUCAAUGUAUGCAUGAUUAAGCCCCACAUGGAAUUGUUACAGAUCAAGACCGUGCUAUGCGAAAUGCAAUUGAAAUCAUAUUUCCGAACACAAAACAUAGAUGGUGCUUGUGGCAUAUAAUGAAAAAGUUACCUGAAAAAUUUGGUGGGCAUAAACAUAAAGCUCCAAUUCUUCAUGUUUUGCAUUGUUUGGUUUAUGACGUCCACAAUUGUGAGGAAUUUGAGCAAGGUUCGAAGAAGAUGCUCGAAGAUUAUGAUUUACACGAGCAUACUUGGUUAGCGGGUCUGUACAAUGAAAGAAGUCGAUGGGUGCCAUGUUAUUUGAAAUCUUCAUUUUGGGCGGGCAUGUCAACCACAUAGCGGAGUGAGGGUAUUAAUGCAUUUUUUGAUGGGUAUGUUUAUUCGAAAACAUCCCUAAAGCAAUUUGUGGAGCAGUAUGAGCGUGCGUUGCGAAGUAAAAUUGAGAAAGAGUUUCAAGCUGACUUCAGAUCAUUUUCACAGAUGGUCCCAUGUGCGACAAGGUACGAAAUGGAGAAAUAAUUCCAAUCGGUUUACACAAUCGCAAAGUUCAAGGAAUUCCAGGAGCAGUUCACCGGAAAGGUAUAUUGUGAAGUACUAUGCGCUCAUGAUUCGUACAUGCAUAUUAUAUAUGAUGUACGUGAAGACAUUAUUUUGAAUGACUGUAUGAAGACAUGUAUUUUUAAAGUGCGGUUGCGUAAGGAUGAGUGUGAUUUCAAAG